UACAGAGGUCCCAAGCGUUGUUCGGAUUCACUGGGCGUAAAGGGUGCGUAGGUGGUGAGGUAAGUCGGAUGUGAAAGCUCGGAGCUCAACUCCGAAAUGGCAUUGGAAACUACCUUGCUCGAGGGUUGGAGGGGGUACUGGAAUGCUUGGUGUAGCAGUGAAAUGCGUAGAUAUCAAGCGGAACACCAGUGGCGAAGGCGAGUCCCUGGACAACUCCUGACACUGAGGCACGAAAGCUAGGGGAGCAAACAGG
rnacentral:rRNA from 1 species